rnacentral:rRNA from 1 species
CCUACGGGGGGCAGCAGUGGGGAAUAUUGGGCAAUGGGCGCAAGCCUGACCCAGCAACGCCGCGUGAAGGAAGAAGGCUUUCGGGUUGUAAACUUCUUUUCUGAGGGACGAAGAAAGUGACGGUACCGCAGGAAUAAGCCACGGCUAACUACGUGCCAGCAGCCGCGGUAAUACGUAGGUGGCAAGCGUCAUCCGGAUUUAUUGGGUGUAAAGGGCGUGUAGGCGGGAAAGGAAGUCAGAUGUGAAAGCUCCGGGCUCAACCCUGAGCCUGCAUUUGAAACUGUUUGUCUUGAGUGCUGGAGAGGCAAUCGGAAUGCCGGGUGUAGCGGUGAAAUGCGUAGAUAUACGGAGGAACACCAGUUGCGAAGGCGGAUUGCUGGACAGUAACUGACGCUGAGGCGCGAAAGCGUGGGGAGCAAACAGGAUUAGAUACCCGAGUAGUC